rnacentral:rRNA from 1 species
UGCCAGCAGCCGCGGUAAUACGGAGGGUGCAAGCGUUACCCGGAUUGAUUGGGCGUAAAGGGUCCGCAGGCGGUUUGAACAGUUAUUGGUCAAAUCUUGAGGCUUAACCUCAAGACUGCUAAUAAUACUUUUAAACUAGAGACUGGGAGAGGCAAACGGAAUUGCCGGUGUAGUAGUAAAAUGCGUUGAUAUCGGUAGGAACACCAAAAGCGAAGGCAGUUUGCUGGAACAGUUCUGACGCUCAGGGACGAAAGCAUGGGUAGCGAAUGGGAUUAGAUA